UCGCGAUGGUGAAGUCCUAUGUUGCCAAGUUGCCAUAGAACUCGGCAAAGUCGUCAUAUUUCAUUCCACUGACGGCCAGGAAUUCCUCAAACGCUUUGGUGGCCUUAUCACCAGCAACACUGCAAACGUUGCUGGGCACGUUUAAAAUGUACCGCUCAUCUGAUGAACCAGUGCAAUGGCUGAUGAUGCCACUCACUUGUCAUUCGUUGGCUGCAUCAUAGCUGCAGCUGGACCUCGUGCAUCCUGCGCCUAUUGUCCGACGGCUGCGUGGGCUGCAUCCCGAAUCCACCCACAAAAUCAUCAUUGGCUUCCAUUGUGAUAUUACCUCUUAAGCAUCUUUAGAGAUUUGGCCUAUGGGGUUAGACAGUAGGGUCGGGCUGGAGCCAACUAUAGCACAGCCAGAGACUCUUGAUCCUGAGUAAGGUAA
rnacentral:lncRNA from 1 species